AGUGAACGCUGGCGGUAGGCCUAACACAUGCAAGUCGAACGGCAGCACAGUAAGAGCUUGCUCUUACGGGUGGCGAGUGGCGGACGGGUGAGGAAUACAUCGGAAUCUACUUUUCGUGGGGGAUAACGUAGGGAAACUUACGCUAAUACCGCAUACGACCUACGGGUGAAAGUAGGGGAUCUUCGGACCUUGCGCGAUUGAAUGAGCCGAUGUCGGAUUAGCUAGUUGGCGGGGUAAAGGCCCACCAAGGCGACGAUCCGUAGCUGGUCUGAGAGGAUGAUCAGCCACACUGGAACUGAGACACGGUCCAGACUCCUACGGGAGGCAGCAGUGGGGAAUAUUGGACAAUGGGCGCAAGCCUGAUCCAGCCAUACCGCGUGGGUGAAGAAGGCCUUCGGGUUGUAAAGCCCUUUUGUUGGGAAAGAAAAGCAGCAGGUUAAUACCCCGCUGUUCUGACGGUACCCAAAGAAUAAGCACCGGCUAACUUCGUG
rnacentral:rRNA from 1 species